UUUUCCCUUGCUGUGUGGGGACUUGCACAGAGCUCACCAUCGUGGCCGAUCCUAAAUUGCAAUUCUCUGCUAUCCCGAAUAAACCCAUCCUAGCUGGAGAAAUAUCUGGCCGUCUAUUUGUUUCAGAUUAUUCUAUUACAGAAUAUCUCAUCUGGGCUGUCCGGCCUCAUUUGUGCCCUAGGGCAGGGGCCCCCAACCCCCGGGCCAUGGACUGGUAUUGGUCCUUGGCCUGUUAGGAACCAGGCUGAACAGCAGGAGGUGAGCAGCAGGCCUGUGAGCAAAGCUUCAUCUGUAUUUACAGCCACUCCCGAUCGCUUGCAUUACCGUCUGAGCGCCGCCUCCUGUCAGCAUGAUGGUGAAAUGAUGUUCAUGUUGCAGACUCCGAAUUGCUUCCCUGUUUGGACCUGACACAUCUGGGUCUGUCUGUGGGUAAUGUGGCCUCUGAGGACAUCUUUAUACACUUGGCAAAGGGACCACCUUUUCAAGCUUGGACCUUAAAAUCCCAGUAAGAUCUUCCUCACAAAUGGGCUCCAAGGGACUUCCCUGGUGGCGCAGUGGUUACGAAUCCGCCUGCUAAUGCAGGGGACACGGGUUUGUUCCCUCGUCCAGGAAGAUCCCACAUGCCGCGGAGCAACUAAGCCCAUGCGCCACAACUACUGAGCCCGCAUGCUGCAACUACUGAAGCCCACGCGCCUAGAGCCCGUGCUCCACAACAAGAGAAGCCACCGCAAUGAGAAGCCCACGCGCCACAACAAAGAGUAGCCCCCCACUCGCCACAACUAGAGAAAGCCCACGUGCAGCAACAAAGACCCAACGC